UGUCCUGCCGAGGAGGGGAGCGAUAGAGCAGCUUGGUGGCACCUGGUGUCCAGCCAAGGUCAAAGCAUCCCAAAUGCGCUUCCAGUUUGUGUGGUGUAGAACAGACGCCUGUUAACACCUACGCUGCCUGCCCAAAAUGUCAGCGAGCGCUGCCGGCCGGGGGGAAGGCCUACCAGGGGUUGUGUGGAGGUGCUGAUGUGCUGCAGCUUUCACAGAGCUGCGUGCACCGUAUGCAACCCUAAGGCUUCGUUUUUCCAUGAACUCCAACAUCAGGCUUGACGGUAACGACAGAUGGCAGAGGCACUGACUUCAGCUGCUUUGAGGAAUAAACGCUGAGCUCAGAGUACUUUCAGACUGUCUGUUACCGAGUAUCUUAAAAAAAUUCAUUGAUUACAGAUUGGAAUGGAUAGAGACAAAUUGGUUUCC